rnacentral:rRNA from 2 species
UACGUAGGGGGCAAGCGUUGUCCGGAUUUACUGGGUGUAAAGGGCGCGCAGGCGGAAUGGAAAGUCAGUGGUGAAAUCCUACAGCUUAACUGUAGAACUGCCUUUGAUACUUUCAUUCUUGAGUUCGGGAGAGAGAGACGGAAUUCCAGGUGUAGUGGUGAAAUACGUAGAUAUCUGGAAGAACACCAGUUGCGAAGGCGGUCUCUUGGUCCGAUACUGACGCUGAGGCGCGAAAGCGUGGGGAGCAAACAGG